rnacentral:misc_RNA from 1 species
CGGUUCGAGUCCGCUUACCUCCACUGAUCUACCACCUGAUACAAACUCUAAGGAGUUCUCUUUUAAAUGGACGUGAUCUAGAUUAGUUCUAAAUGAAUGAACCUAGCUUCAUAUCAUUCCUUAUUUGAAAUUUUCAAUUUUAUUUGGUUGAUAUGAUGCUGGGCUCACUGUAGUUCCAACUACAGAGAUGUUCAGUA